rnacentral:rRNA from 1 species
GACAGAGGGUGCAAACGUUGUUCGGAAUUACUGGGCGUAAAGGGCGCGUAGGCGGCCUUCUAAGUCAGACGUGAAAUCCCUCGGCUCAACCGAGUAACUGCGUCUGAUACUGGAAGGCUUGAAUCCGGGAGAGGGAUGUGGAAUUCCAGGUGUAGCGGUGAAAUGCGUAGAUAUCUGGAGGAACACCGGUGGCGAAGGCGGCAUCCUGGACCGGUAUUGACGCUGAGGCGCGAAAGCUAGGGGAGCAAACGGGG